GAACACUCCCAUUGAGCUGAACAAUCCUGCCAAGCAUUUCUGUAGAGGCAUGACUGAAGACUGGACAGCAGACAGUGUUGUGGUGGCUGCCCUCGGUCGUCCUUUAGAUCUUGGGAUGUUGUAUGACUGCCGCAGUGACUCAUUUUGUUCAGAUGUCAGUCUUUGGGAUAACAGUACAAUAGCUUUCAUGCGUCAGUCUCUACCUCGGCCUCUCACAGAGGUGAAGUGUAUUGAAGGAGAC